ACCAGUAGAUGCAAUGGUUUCCAUGCUUAGAUUGCUUGAUCAACAAGCCUAGAAAGCAGCUGCAGAUCAACAAGCCUUAGAAGCAGAUAGUCUCAAGAACUAAGGGUCAUAUCAGAGUAGGCUUGAUCAAUCAGACAAAAAUUCCAAAUAAAGCAGCCGAGAUAGUUGACAGAACAAAAUGACACUUGGAAGAGCCAACAGAACUAGGUGUAGAUCCGAGAUGGAUUCAACAACUCAUAGACCAGAACAUGCAUGAUUGAGUAACUAAACAAACUACUCGAUCAUACAACAAAUUUUUAGCGGGUUUUUUUUUUGUCGAGUUUUAGAUAGUCAAAGAACAAGAUCGAAUGAUAGAGUAACAAACUUGAUCUUACAAACAAGAAGAAACAGAGCAAAGAUAAAAAUAAGGCAUGAAUUUUUUUUUUUUGGAAUUGGUUUUUCAGAAGGGUUUCAGAAGGUGACAAUAUCAGAUCAGAAUAGCAGGGUGAGAUUUCAGAACGAUUCAGAUUUCAUGGUUUUUAGGUUGUUUCAGGCUUUCUCUUUUGUUUGACGAUUUUCGGAGGGGUUUACUGGUAGAUCUGGUUGAGAUUGGGCAAAUAGCUGAUUUUACAAAAGCAACAGUCUUGUUCUUUAGAAGGGCAUAACACGAUUUUUUUUUAACAAAGAAAAUUGGUCGGCACAAUUAACAAAAGUGGUUGAUACAAUUUUUGCAAUUUACUGACACAAGCCUAAAAGAUUCAAACUUUUUUUUUCAAGCAAGAAAUAAAUUAAUCACCAACACGUGCAAGACCAAAUGAUCAAAGUGGACCAUUAAAAACCAAUAUGGACCACAAACAAACCUCACUUUACUUGUAGUGAGAGAAAACGAAUAUGCAAAAGGUGCAAACGAGCUAUGUUGUUUAGACGGUGUAAAAAGAAAGCUCGAUAGAUAAAGGAAAGUAAGAGAGAGGUACAAAGGGAAAGCGAGAGAGAGAGAUAGAUAAAGGGAAGUAAGAGAGAGGCACAAAGGGAAAGCGAGAGAGAGAGACGCAUGAAGCCGAUGAGAAUUACAGAGAAAAGUGAUGGCCAGAAAGUUUUUUGUUUUUAAAAGAGGUAAAAAGGUCGAAAAGCCUGAUGCACAGAAGGCGUACCAAAAAUUGCAGACAAUGGAUCCAGAAAACAGGAAAAGAGGCGAGAUACAGACUGAUUUACAUGUGAUGGUUAAUUGAGAAUGCUUCAGAUCAAACCUCAAAUCUGGACGACGGAUCUUUAACAACCCACAAAAAAAGGAACAAGAUUAGAUUUGUUUCUCAAACUGAUUUCAGAUGUGGUUUUAAUGGGCAGUUUAGAUGGCGGCUUUUCUGAAGGAUAGGUUUAGGGGGUUUUGAUGAGCGGUUUCAGAUGGCGGUGGGUUUUCUGAGACGGCAGGAUGUUUUCCAGAUGGUAGGGUGUUUUUCAGAUGGUGGUUUUCUGAGAUAGCGUGGCGGUUUUCUGAGAUGGCGGUAGUUUUUCUGAGAUGGAAGGGUGUUUUUCAGAUGGCGAUACUGAUUUCAAGGGUGGUGUUGUAGUCGGUAUUCAGAUUCUGAGCGAUAUUCAAAUACUAAUAAGGGCAAGAUGAGAUUUCAGACGGAUCUGCAGAAUAUGCGGAGAGGGUUGCCACUGGAAUACUUGGCUGUUGAUUUUAUGAAACCUGGUUUGGAUGUUCACCAAAGUUUAUUUUGGUGGAUCUUGUGGAGGGGACAAAUUUGUCUUCUUGUAGUGCUGGGAACAAAUUUGUCGGAACAAAAUCGAAGGAAACAUUCUCGCUGCAAUUUCUCUCUUGCCGCGAGCGAGGAUUUCUUCACAUGCAACCUUUUAUUUUUGGAGGCAUGAAUUUUCAAACUGCAGAGAUAAAGAAACCAAAGUUGGGUCUCUUUCUCUCUCUCUUCUGUUAACUGCGAAUUUGCAGCUGCGAUCAUGUAAUGGAUUGCUAAUUUGCAGCUGCCACGAAUUUGCAGCUGCGAUCAUGGGGUUGCUGAGGUAUUGGAGCUUGCCGAAGUUGGUCAACUGCAUCAAUGGGCGAACUACAGUAGGAACGGGUUGAAAUAGCUGAAACAACGGUGUGGCUGUUUUGCGAAUAGUCGAAAUAUCACUCGACAAACAUAUAAGAGAGUGGAAAACGGAGUAACACACUUGUCUUUAAAAUCGCCGACAAUCCUUAAAGGACGAGGAAUAGAAAUUGUUAUACGUCAUUUUUGAUGUACUUGUAUCAACGAACGUAUAACGACAAAGCUGGUAGUAACCUGAUCUCGCUGAUGCCAAAAAUGCCGUCAGACCAUGGGAAAUAUUGUAAAAAUAAGCUUGAAAUUGGGUGACCUUAAUUGAAGUGUCAGAAUGGCCUCAAAUUGCAUGAGAAGGUGGUUUUAGAUGUUUGAGGGCACCCGUCAAAUUACGUAGCGUUUUGACAAGUUUUA
rnacentral:lncRNA from 1 species